rnacentral:rRNA from 1 species
UACGUAGGGGUGCGAGCGUUGUCCGGAAUUACUGGGCGUAAAGAGCUCGUAGGUGGUUUGUCGCGUUGUCCGUGAAAACUCACAGCUUAACUGUGGGCGUGCGGGCGAUACGGGCAGACUGGAGUACUGCAGGGGAGACUGGAAGUUCCUGGUGUAGCGGUGGAAUGCGCAGAUAUCAGGAGGAACACCGGUGGCGAAGGCGGGGUCUCUGGACAGUUCCUGACACUGAGACACGAAGGCCAGGGGAGCAAACAGG